ACCGGAUGAAACUAAGUCCGGUCACCGGAAAUUGCAGAUAAACGGAAACUCACCAAAAUAAGGUCACAGACGUCGGAAGCUUACCCAAAACGUCUAUCGACCGAAAGCAAAGUCAUCGGAUAGCAUCAAAACCCCGGGUCCGAAGGUCGGAAAAUCCUAGAAUUUGAAGGACUCACCAGAAUAAGACCAGAGAUGUCGGAAAA
rnacentral:lncRNA from 1 species